rnacentral:rRNA from 1 species
CCCUUAGAUGUUCUGGGCUGCACGCGCGCUACACUGAUGCACUCAACGAGUUUACGACCUUGCCCGAUAGGGUUGGGUAAUCUUUUUAAAAUGCAUCGUGAUGGGGAUAGAUUAUUGCAAUUAUUAAUCUUCAACGAGGAAUUCCUAGUAAGCGCGAGUCAUCAGCUUGCAUUGAUUACGUCCCUGCCCUUUGUACACACCGCCCGUCGCACCUACCGAUUGGAUGGUCCGGUGAAGCCCUCGGAUUGGCCCUGAUCUUCGGUGACGGUGCCAAGAAGUAGGCUAAACCUUACCAUCUAGAGGAAGGUGAAGUCGUAACA